CGCAGGCUGUCUGGAGCCUCUGUCCUGUGUCUGGCCUCCAGUGGGCGAUGUUGCGCAAACUAGAGGUGCUGAAGCUCUCAGCACCUUCCCCUCCGCUCCUCCUCCCUGGAGCUAGGGGGCUGAAGCCCGCUUUUUGAGUUCUUUGAGGUUAAGACAAGUGAGAUAUUCAGAGGUCAGAAAAUACUCAAGAUCACCUAAGAAGUUCUUGUAUUUUUACCUAAACAAGGGACUUAUCUAGUUCAACCUUACUCACAUCUCCUAUUUCCAAGAGCUGGGUUCCACGGCCGCUUUCCUGCUUGCUCAGGGGAGAUCUUCCAGAAAGAAGCCUGCCAUGUCUUCACUGCUCAGCCAUGCUCCUGUUGCUCAUCCCAGUACUGGGGAUGCUUUUUUCCCUGAGAGACACCAGUGCCCAGUCAGUGACCCAGCUUGAUGGCCAUGUCACUGUCUCUGAAAAAGCCCAUCUGGAGCUGAGGUGCAACUACUCCUAUGGGGCAACUCCUAAUCUCUUCUGGUAUGUGCAGUACCCCAACCAAGGACUCCAGCUUCUCCUCAAGUACUUUUCAGGGCCACCAAAUGUCCUGGUUCAAGGCAUCAAAGGUUUUCAGGCUGAAUUUAGGAAGAAUGAAACCUCCUUCCAUCUGAGGAAACACUCGGCCCACUGGAGCGACUCGGCCAAGUACUUUUGUGCUGCAAGUGACACAGUACCUUGGACUGCAGGGGGAGCUGAACACAAACCUCUUGAGGCACUAAGGAGGCUAAGUGCAUCUGAAAGGUUUUGGAUUCUGACAUAGUAGGACACACAGUACAGAGGCGUUCAGGGACUGGCUGAGCAAGUGUGGGGGCAGAUCUGCUCCAACCGGUUGGAUAUGGGAGUUGGGACACAGCACGGGAGCAUUUUACUUUUCAUUCAUAAUUGUAUCUUUCAAUAAACUGAACAAGGUGAA